GGGCGGAUGGCGGAAUUGGUAGACGCACCGCACUCAAAAUGCGGCGCCGAAAGGCUUGCGAGUUCGAGUCUCGCCCCGCCCA
rnacentral:tRNA from 4 species